UCCCAGGUAGCUCAGUGGUAAAGAAUCUGACUGCCAAGCAGGAGACAUGGGUUCAAUCCCUGGGUUGGGAA
rnacentral:tRNA from 1 species